GCAUAAACAAGUAGAGCAAGGACCAGAACCAUAACAAUAAUUAUUGCAAAUAGCUGACAUGUUAACCAACUUUAAACAGACUAACCAGCUACCAGAUACAAUCUGUAUCAUAAACCCUAGGUAAAUAUGGGCAAAGUAUAUUAUUCCCAACAGUUGUUUUCCUCCUUCGUCCACGCAAGUGGGCGCAUAUAGUCAAAGUGGGAAUAAUACCUAUCCCCCGUCCAAGGACCCGGGUCUAGGAUUACCAGUCCACCCGAUGAUCUGGGGCCAGGCAAAAACCCAGUGGCAAAAACUCAUAUUUG